GACCGCCAUUAAGGAUUCAUUCUGUGAACCUUGACCAACCGCCAGAUACGAAUUCAUCCCCAACUCUUUCAUCUGUUCUUCACCAAUCACUUUGGUCGUCAGAUUAGCAGCAUUGUCAGCCAGCUGGCGUGCUUGUGAUGCCAAAUAGGCAGCAUUACAGAUAUUGGGGGGCAUAUUGGCCAGAUCUUUGGC
rnacentral:antisense_RNA from 1 species